AGAGUUUGAUCAUGGCUCAGGACGAACGCUGGCGGCGUGCCUAAUACAUGCAAGUCGAGCGAAGAACUUCGGUUCUUAGCGGCGAACGGGUGAGUAACACGUGGGCAACCUGGCCUCAAGCCUGGGAUACACCGGGAAACCGGUGCUAACACCAGAUAAUCUUUUUUCCCGCAUGGGAGAAGAGUAAAAGUUUACACUUGAGGAUGGGCCCGCGUUGCAUUAGCUAGUUGGUGGGGUAACGGCCUACCAAGGCAACGAUGCAUAGCCGACCUGAGAGGGUGACCGGCCACACUGGGACUGAGACACGGCCCAGACUCCUACGGGAGGCAGCAGUAGGGAAUUUUCCGCAAUGGGGGCAACCCUGACGGAGCAACGCCGCGGAGUGAAGACGGCCUUCGGGUUGUAAAGCUCUGUUCUUGGGGAAGAAAACAAUGACGGUACCCAAGCAGAAAGCCCCGGCUAACUACGUGCCAGCAGCCGCGGUAAUACGUAGGGGGCAAGCGUUGUCCGGAAUUAUUGGGCGUAAAGCGCGCGCAGGUGGUGGAUUAAGUUGUGGGUAAAAGGCAAUGGCUCAACCAUUGUAAGCCUGCAAAACUGGUUCACUUGAGUGCAGGAGAGGGGAGUGGAAUUCCCGGUGUAGCGGUGGAAUGCGUAGAGAUCGGGAGGAACACCAGUGGCGAAGGCGACUCUCUGGCCUGUAACUGACACUGAGGCGCGAAAGCGUGGGGAGCGAACAGGAUUAGAUACCCUAGUAGUCC
rnacentral:rRNA from 1 species